rnacentral:rRNA from 2 species
CCCUUUGGGGUGUGACUGCGUACCUUUUGUAUAAUGGGUCAGCGACUUAUAUUCUGUAGCAAGGUUAACCGAAUAGGGGAGCCGGAGGGAAACCGAGUCUUAAUUGGGCGUUAAGUUGCAGGGUAUAGACCCGAAACCCGGUGAUCUAGCCAUGGGCAGGUUGAAGGUUGGGUAACACUAACUGGAGGACCGAACCGACUAAUGUUGAAAAAUUAGCGGAUGACCUGUGGCUGGGGGUGAAAGGCCAAUCAAACCGGGAGAUAGCUGGUUCUCCCCGAAAGCUAUUUAGGUAGCGCCUCGUGAAUUCAUCUCCGGGGGUAGAGCACUGUUUCGGCUAGGGGGCCAUCCCGGCUUACCAACCCGAUGCAAACUGCGAAUACCGGAGAAUGUUAUCACGGGAGACACACGGCGGGUGCUAACGUCCGUCGUGAAGAGGGAAACAACCCAGACCGCCAGCUAAGGUCCCAAAGUCAUGGUUAAGUGGGAAACGAUGUGGGAAGGCCCAGACAGCCAGGAUGUUGGCUUAGAAGCAGCCAUCAUUUAAAGAAAGCGUAAUAGCUCACUGGUCGAGUCGGCCUGCGCGGAAGAUGUAACGGGGCUAAACCAUGCACCGAAGCUGCGGCAGCGACACUCAGGUGUUGUUGGGUA